GACGAACGCUGGCGGCGUGCCUAAUACAUGCAAGUAGAACGCUGAAGGAGGAGCUUGCUUCUCCGGAUGAGUUGCGAACGGGUGAGUAACGCGUAGGUAACCUGCCUGGUAGCGGGGGAUAACUAUUGGAAACGAUAGCUAAUACCGCAUAACAGUAGAUGUUGCAUGACAUUUGCUUAAAAGGUGCAAUUGCAUCACUACCAGAUGGACCUGCGUUGUAUUAGCUAGUUGGUGAGGUAACGGCUCACCAAGGCGACGAUACAUAGCCGACCUGAGAGGGUGAUCGACCACGCUGGGAAGGAGACACGGCCCGGACUCCGACGGGAGGCAGCAGUAGGGAAUCUUCGGCAAUGGACGGAAGUCUGACCGAGCAACGCCGCGUGAGUGAAGAAGGUUUUCAGAUCGUAGAGCUCUGUUGUAAGGGAAGAACGGGUGUGAGAGUAGAAAGUUCACACUGUGACGGUAGCGUACCAGAAAGGGACGGCUAACUACGUG
rnacentral:rRNA from 1 species